GUGAGUCGGAUCGGCCCAAUGGCAGGGAGGGAGAGUCGGGCGGUGGGGAGGGCCUUCGGGGCAGAGUCCGGCCGGUGGUGGCGCCCUUCGCCCCGCCCAUAAUGGUGGCCGCCUCCGUGGCUGGUUAGGUAGUUUUGUUGUGUUCUGUGGCCGCUGAGGAAACAUAGGCUGAGGCUGGCGGUGUCACGAUGCCUCACCUCUGCAAAUAGAAUUGGCCUAUUUCCACGUUACUCUGGACUGUGACUCCUGAGAAAACAAUGCUGAUGACAGAGGUAUUUUUUGCUGCCUUCUACACAAGACUAAUAUGAUACAUCAGUGACUGCAGGGGAUGUUCUGGCAUAGCAAAGUUGGCAGGUAGCCCGUAUGAUCGUUUCCUCUGGCAGAAGAAACAAGAAAGCAACUUUGUCAGUGCUGUUCUGAAAGGCCUUUUGUAGCAUCCAUCAACUCCUGUGAACUUCAGGGGAAUCGCUCAUCCCUUUCAUCCCAAGGAAAAAGGAUCAAUACCUGAGAGAUCUCUUAUAGGCCUAGGAGUCCUGGGGACAUGAGCCAGCAAUAGGCACUUUGGUGCUCUGAAUAUUUCCCUUUCCAUACAGCCUUCCUUUCUGAUGCUCAUCUAUGCUGCACUGCUAUAGAUUUUUCCCUGACAAGUGUGGUUCAGUGUAUGCAUACACACCGCCUGGAAGAAACUGAACCUAAGUGGUGAUGUUUCACACUUCUCUAAGAAACACUGGUUUUAUAAACAGUCCACAUACAGAUACUGUGAAUUCUAAGGAUUAUAAACUUCAUCAAAGACUUUUUUUAUUUCUCUGAAAUAGUCCAAGAACUUUUAUAGCAGCAACAAUAAUAGUCUUGUUGCUUUUGUGGGAGGAUUGGGCUUCAUGACUUGGUUCUUUUCUAUUACAAUUAGCCUGCUUUGUUUAUCCUCUGUCCUGUAAUCAAAUGAACUCAUUGUAGCAUCGCUGUUUAUGUAAGUGGCUCUCACUCCUGUAUACUGUGGCAUCAAUGCUUUUUCUCAUCGAAACAGACCAAAACAAUAAUUCCUUUUAGUACCCCUCAUACAAAGUACCAUCAAAGCUGACUGCCUUGGUUUUAGUUCUUUGCUGAUCAAGUACUGUACAUUCAGUGUGUGAUUUCUCCUGCAGGAAGGAAGCACAUAGCUCAGGAGUGUCUUCCUACCUGCAGAGGAGGACUCAGGGAGCGCCUCCUUUGUCAACAGUGUUUCCAUCCAUUGCACCAUAAUAAAUGACGUUUGUAUUACUAAUAAUGACUAUUCAAGAAAGAGCAAGUGUCUCCUGAGGUUGCUUUUAAUACCUCUUUAUGGGAUUGCAAUAAAAGGUGUCCCUGGAGUCUGCCAGCAAAACAGCUGUUGAGUAGAGGGGUUGGUUCUGCUCAGUGCUGUAAUGGUUUGGUAAUCUCAUUCUCCAGGAUCAAGCCAAUUACCACUUGCAGCAUGCCCAGGUGUCAGCCAGCUGAAGAUCAAAGCGUUCCGGCCUUCUGUUUGAACAUGACUCAUUUUCAUGUCAGCAUGACCACUGGGCAACUAAUGUGAAUCUGGCAUUUUUGGGACCUAUCUACUUUGAGAGUAGCGUUAGUGUUUUAGGAGGCAAAGUCUGUUUAUUCCAGUCACUGCGACACUGAUGGCUUUAAGAUUAUCAUGUAAAAAGAUAAUCCACAAAAAAUAAAAAAAAAUGAUCCUUCUUGAAGUUUGAGAAGCCCAUUCUGCUGCACCCAGCAGUGCUACACUUGGCUGUAGGUGGGUAAUGGAAGGAAGUGGAGAUUUCGGCUUGAGAGGACUAAAAAUUCUUCAUGUUUCUUUAUCUAUUUCAAAAGAUUUUUGCCAAUUCGUAUCUUCCCUAUACAUGCAUGCUGGAAAUUUAGCAAAAGCAUGUUGACUCAGAAAAAGAUUUUUCCUAACUCCAGCGCUAUGAUAGUUGUGCCCAUACAAACCCAUAUAAAAGCUGCCUGAACAGCAGUAGUCAGCCAUGCCAAAUACAUUCAGCUGUUUACUUUCAAGAUAAGCAGUGCUGCGGGGAUCUUGGCAUACAGCCCCCACUAUUUGAAAGCUGAGGAAAUUCCCACUGGGCCUGCAACCAAACGGUUUCUUGCAGCCAUUUCAUGGGCUUUUACUGCUGUGGUGUUCUGAAGCGCUGGUGGUUAGCAGCCUCUCACUGCUCAGGAAUCCAGCUGAGCUGCUUCACAGAGCGCUGCUCAGCUUUCCUCCACUGCAAACGCAAUUCAGCCACUCCCAGCUGUGUUCUGCCCACUUACGGCAAUGAUUAAUUUCCUUCCCAAGACUUCAAUAUAAAAGUAAUCUUCCCUGAGUGAUGUGCCGCGUUUCUGUUCCUUUUUGCUACAUUUUUUAAUAUCAAGGCUGUGAAUGCUUGUUUUUUCACAUUAGAAUUUUCAGAAAUAUCAUGUCUUAACUUCCCAUUUUUAAUCUCGUGGCCCUACAGAAACAGACCAAAGGCAAUUCUGUACCUGAAAAUUGUAUUUUUAUGUAUUUUUAUUUCAUCUCUUUAUACGGGAAAUACUACAUAUUGACUCAUGCCUAAUUGCUUAAUACCUAGUAAUAAAAAGUUGUUUGUAAAGCCUGAGUAAAACCUGCUUUCCAUCAUGAUAAUUCAUUUUUCAACUGCUUUGUGUUUCUAUUGUUUGUUAUUUCUAGGCUGUACUGAGAGCACUGUAGGGACUGGCACCUGAUUAUGGUAGUAAAG
ensembl:lncRNA